rnacentral:rRNA from 1 species
AUUGAACGCUGGCGGAAUGCUUUACACAUGCAAGUCGAACGGCAGCACGGACUUCGGUCUGGUGGCGAGUGGCGAACGGGUGAGUAAUGUAUCGGAACGUGCCCAGUCGUGGGGGAUAACGCAGGGAAAAGUACGCUAAUACCGCAUACGAUCUAUGGAUGAAAGCGGGGGAUCGCAAGACCUCGCGCGAUUGGAGCGGCCGAUAUCAGAUUAGGUAGUUGGUGGGGUAAAGGCCCACCAAGCCAACGAUCUGUAGCUGGUCUGAGAGGACGACCAGCCACACUGGAACUGAGACACGGUCCAGACUCCUACGGGAGGCAGCAGUGGGGAAUUUUGGACAAUGGGCGAAAGCCUGAUCCAGCCAUUCCGCGUGCAGGAUGAAGGCCCUCGGGUUGUAAACUGCUUUUGUACAGAACGAAAAGGUUUCUACUAAUACUAGGAGCUCAUGACGGUACUGUAAGAAUAAGCACCGGCUAACUACGUGCCAGCAGCCGCCGUAA